UCAAGCUGAAAAGAGCGCAAGGGGAAUGCCUUGGCAUCAGGAGCCGACGAAGGACGUGACAAGCUGCGAUAAGCCACGGGGAGGAGCAAAUAUCCGUUAUAUCCGUGGAUUUCCGAAUGGGGGAACCCGCUCAAGCAAUACUUGAGCAUCGUGCGUUGAAUCAAAUAGGCGUACGAAGGGAACGGCCUGAACUGAAACAUCUAAGUAGGGCCAGGAAAAGACAUCAACCGAGAUUCCGCUAGUAGUGGCGAGCGAACGCGGAGGAGGCCAAACCGAGGGACGCAAGUUCUUCGGGGUUGCGGACAGACAUCAUGACCAGAGGUAAUUAAGAGAACGGCGUGGGAAAGCCGGCCAUAGAAGGUGAGAGCCCUGUAUCUGAAAAUGAAGACUGGCAGUCUGGAUCCAGAGUACCGCGGGACACGUGAAACCCCGUGGGAAACCGGGUGGACCACCAUCCAAGCCUAAAUACUACCUGAUGACCGAUAGAGGAGCAGUACCGUGAGGGAAAGGUGAAAAGGACCCCGGGAGGGGAGUGAAAGAGAACCUGAAACCUUGUGCUUACAAGCAGUCAAAGCACGUUAAAGUGUGAUGACGUACUUUUUGUAGAACGGUCCGGCGAGUUAUAGUAACGAGCAAGCUUAAGGUAUUCAGUACCGGAGGCGAAGCGAAAGCGAGUCUGAAUAGGGCGUGUGAAGUUCGUUGCCAUAGACCCGAAACCGGGUGACCUACGCAUGAGCAGGUUGAAGUGGGGGUGAAACCCCAUGGAGGACCGAACCGACCCCCGUUGCAAUGGUGGCGGAUGACUUGUGUGUAGCGGUGAAAUUCCAAUCGAACUCGGAGAUAGCUGGUUCUCCCCGAAAUAGCUUUAGGGCUAGCGUUGUGUUAGAUUACCGGAGGUAAAGCACUGAAUGGUUUAGGGGCUGAUAAAGUUACCGACGCCUAUCAAACUCUGAAUGCCGGAUAAUUGAUGACUAGCAGUCAGACAGUGUGAGAUAAGUUUCAUUGUCAAAAGGGAAACAGCCCAGACCUACAGCUAAGGUCCCAAAUGUAUGCUAAGUGGAAAACGAUGUGGAAUUGCGAAAACAACCAGGAUGUUGGCUUAGAAGCAGCCACACAUUAAAAGAGUGCGUAAUAGCUCACUGGUCGAGUGACUCUGCGCGGAAAAUGUAACGGGGCUAAGCAUACAACCGAAGCUUAGGAUUGUCAAAAGACAGUGGUAGGGGAGCGUUCUGUACGGGGCGAAGUCGCAGCGGGAGCAGCGGUGGACUGUACAGAAGUGAGAAUGCCGGAAUGAGUAGCGAGAAUUAUGUGGGAAUCAUAAUGGCCGAAAAUCUAAGGUUUCUUGGGGAAGGUUCGUCCGCCCAAGGUAAGUCGGGAGCUAAGCUCAGGCCGAGAGGCGUAGGCGAUGCACAUACGGUAGAAAUUCCGUAACCACCGAACUUUAAGCAUGAGGGACACUUUGAGAUAGCGGGACCCGGGCGUUGGUAGACCCGGGCGAAAGGGACCGAAAUAUAGUAGGGAAGUCCGCGAUGCUCGGAGGCGAGAAAAGCUCAUGUGUAUACUAAGGUGCCCGUACCGCAAACCGACACAGGUAGAUGAGGAGAGAAUCCUAAGGCCAACGGGAGAAGGGUUGUUAAGGAACUCGGCAAGAUGACCCCGUAACUUCGGAAGAAGGGGAGCCUCGAAAGAGGCCGCAGUGAAUAGGCCCAAGCAACUGUUUACCAAAAACACAGGUUUAUGCUAAAUCGAAAGAUGACGUAUAUGAGCUGACGCCUGCCCGGUGCCGGAAGGUUAAGAGGAGAUGUCAACCGCAAGGUGAAGCAUUGAAUUGAAGCCCCGGUAAACGGCGGCCGUAACUAUAACGGUCCUAAGGUAGCGAAAUUCCUUGUCAGGUAAGUUCUGACCCGCACGAAAGGCGUAAUGAUUUGGGCACUGUCUCAACAGCCCGCCCGGCGAAAUUGUAGUACUGGUGAAGAUGCCAGUUACCCGCAACUAGACGGAAAGACCCCAUGGAGCUUUACUGCAGCUUAAUACUGGAAUUCGGUAAAUCAUGUACAGGAUAGGUGGGAGACAGGGAAGCAUUGGCGUCAGCCAGUGUGGAGUCGCUGGUGGGAUACCACUCUUGAUUUGCUGGGUUUCUAACCUGCGGCCGUGAAUCCGGUCGGGGGACACUGUUAGGCGGGCAGUUUGACUGGGGCGGUCGCCUCCAAAAGAGUAACGGAGGCGCUCAAAGGUUGGCUCAGCACGGACGGAAAUCGUGCAAUGAGUGUAAACGUAUAAGCCAGCCUAACUGCGAGACCGACGGGUCGAGCAGUAACGAAAGUUGGAGUUAGUGAUCCGGUGGUAUGUGAGUGGAAAUGCCAUCGCUCAACGGAUAAAAGCUACCCUGGGGAUAACAGGCUGAUCUCCCCCAAGCGUCCACAGCGACGGGGAGGUUUGGCACCUCGAUGUCGGCUCGUCACAUCCUGGGGCUGUAUUCGGUCCCAAGGGUUCGGCUGUUCGCCGAUUAAAGUGGCACGCGAGCUGGGUUCAGAACGUCGUGAGACAGUUCGGUCCCUAUCUGUUGCGGGCGUAAGAGAUUUGAAGGGAGCUGUCCUUAGUACGAGAGGACCGGGAUGGACGUACCUCUGGUGCACCAGUUGUCCUGCCAAGGGCAUAGCUGGGUAGCUAUGUACGGACGAGAUAAACGCUGAAAGCAUCUAAGCGUGAAACUCCCCCUAAGAUGAGAUCUCUCAUCCUUCAUGGAGUAAGGGCCCAGGAAGACUACCUGGUUGAUAGGCAAGGUGUGGAAGCGCAGUAAUGUGUGGAGCUGACUUGUACUAAUAGCCCGAGGGCUUGACCUA
rnacentral:rRNA from 1 species